CACCCACUCAAGCCUGGCUUGGUGUUGGGCGCCGCGGCCCGCCGCGCGCCUCAAUGUCUGCCGGCCGAACCGUCCGUCUCCAAGCGUUGUGGCACACACCUUUUCGCUUCGGGAGCUCGGGGGGCGUCGCGCCGUUAAACCUCACUACA
rnacentral:misc_RNA from 1 species